rnacentral:rRNA from 1 species
AUACGGAGGGUGCAAGCGUUAUUCGGAAUCACUGGGCGUAAAGGACGCGUAGGCGGGUUGGCAAGUCAGAUGUGCAAUCCUACAGCUUAACUGUAGAACUGCAUUUGAAACUGCUAACCUAGAGUAUGGGAGGGGGAGAUGGAAUUAGUGGUGUAGGGGUAAAAUCCGUAGAUAUCACUAGGAAUACCGAAAGCGAAGGCGAUCUCCUGGAACAUAACUGACGCUAAGGCGUGAAAGCGUGGGGAGCAAACAGGAUUAGAAACCCUAGUAGUCC